UACGGGGUGGGCAAGCGUUGUUCGGAAUUACUGGGCGUAAAGGGCUCGUAGGCGGCCAACUAAGUCAGACGUGAAAUCCCUCGGCUUAACCGGGGAACUGCAUCUGAUACUGGAUGGCUUGAGUUCGGGAGAGGGAUGUGGAAUUCCAGGUGUAGCGGUGAAAUGCGUAGAUAUCUGGAGGAACACCGGUGGCGAAGGCGGCAUCCUGGACCGACACUGACGCUGAUGAGCGAAAGCCAGGGGAGCAAACGGG
rnacentral:rRNA from 1 species